rnacentral:misc_RNA from 1 species
GAGCAGGUCUGUCCGAGCGUCUGCCACCUGAAAACGUUGUCGUCCACGGACGACAAGAGUGAGGAGAUGCACGCCCGGGUCGUGCUGCACUCCUUGAAGAGGCAUUGCGGACGGUGCACCGUGACCGGGUGAGACAAUCGUCGCCAUAAACGGUUGCGUCAUCUCGUCGGUGCCGGCCGCGGUCCCAAACACCGUUUGGACCUCGGAUCAGG